CGCAGCCGCGGUAAUUCCAGCUCCAAUAGCGUAUAUUAAAGUUGUUGCAGUUAAAAAGCUCGUAGUUGAAUUUCGGGGUCAGUAGGUCGGUCGUGCCACUGGUAUGAACUGGUUUUACUGAUUCCUCCCUCUUGAAGAACUGUAAUGCCAUUAAUUUGGUGUUGCAGGGAAUCAGGACUGUUACUUUGAAAAAAUUAGAGUGUUUAAAGCAGGCUUUAGCUUGAAUACAUUAGCAUGGAAUAAUGAAAUAGGACGUUUGAUCCUAUUUUGUUGGUUUCUAGGAUUGACGUAAUGAUUAAUAGGGAUAGUUGGGGGCAUUAGUAUUCAAUUGUCAGAGGUGAAAUUCUUGGAUUUAUUGAAGACUAACUACUGCGAAAGCAUUUGCCAAGGAUGUUUUCAUUAAUCAAGAACGAAAGUUAGGGGAUCGAAGACGAUCAGAUACCGUCGUAGUCUUAACCAUAAACUAUGCCGACUAGGGAUCGGAUGAUGUUAAUUUUUUAAUGACUCA
rnacentral:rRNA from 1 species